UUCACAUUUUGCACUAUCUUGUCAAAAAUCUUCCCACCAUAUGUCAAUAAUAGACCUAUUUCGAAAGCACUGUACUCUUGUCAAAAUGAGUGAGGGCCAGUGAUAUCAGACGCUCCUCGCUCUCACCUGGGAGUCUGUCUGGUAAAAGCAGGCUAAAGAGUCACCUGAACCAUGGUUUUUAAGGGGUUGCUGUGUUGCUACACUGGACUGUAGCUGACUCACUCUAGAAGAGAGGUCAUGCUCCAUAAGUCUCCCAGGUAUCAAUCCUGGAAGCUUUCUUUUGUUCCUCUGCCUGACUGCUUUCUUGCUUCUACUCUCAAUGAGCUUUUUGACCUUAUCCAUUCAGUCUCUACGUGUCUUUGUAUCCUCCUCUUCUGGCAAUUUUUCAUCUCUCGGAGUUUCAGUCAGAAAUUGAUCUGGAAACAGAUAGCUUAUUAGCUGAUGCAAGCACAACGUCUGCUUCCACUAACACAAUUCUCUCUUCCCUCACGGUCAUGCCCUUGGCCAGGACUGGCCCGCGGUGGAGUCUGUCAGUGGUAGCACAAUCAGACCAAAACAUACACAUCAGACAAAUUUGCCUGCUUUGGCUCAUUUCAAUACAGAGUCAGACUCUUCAAAGGCUGACUAUAAAGUCUUCUUCAUUUCAAAGUUUGAGUCUUUUUGGAGACUGACCCUUUGAUGGAUGGCUCCUCUUGAGGGGCUGGAGGUGCAGGCUCUUAAGAAGAAAUACAGCAACUUGACAAAAAUCGACCCGGUAAAAACACUUUUCCCAAUCUCACCUUCCCCAGAGCUGUUUUUAAUACUGUGCACACUUUUCUCUGUGUGGCGUGCUAGAAAUAUAUAUUUGAAAAAGGCAGUGUUGUCUGCUUUUUUCAUCAUUCAGUAUUUAUUUAACUUUUUUUUAUGUGACUAUAAAUGAAAGUAUUAAUAUGGGAUUUAGAGCGAAAGACGAGGCGUAGAGCUGUUAUUUGGUUAGUUCAUUAAAUAUUCAUCCACAGAAUUUAAUGCAGCAUGUUUACAUCUUGUUUGCUCAUCAAAGCUUCUGCUCAUUUAUGUUAAUUAUCUUCCGGCUGAAGUAAUAAAACAGACUUCUCAUGAGCUAAGUGGCCAGAGUUUUUGUAUGUUCUCCAGCAACAAGUAUGAAAAGGUCUGACCAUGAGAGGGUAUGAGUCAUACUCUCUUUGAGUGAGCAGUGGUGAUAGAGGUCACAGUAGCAGCUAUACUCACUUGGUCUCACUCAUGAAAUGUUAAUUAAUCUAAAAGUAGAUUUGCACAUAAAACACCAGAUUCAUGAAUGCGCGGGAAACUCGUAUUUGAUCGUAGGCAUGGGUGUGUAUUCAUGAAGUUCCAAUCAGAUCUCCCGCUAGUCAGCGAUUAGCAUACAUCCCCACCCAUGGAUAGCCAGUGAUCACCAUAUAAGGUGAUGAUACUUACUAUAUAAGAUUUUAUUAUUCUAUUAUUAGUGGUGUGACAGGGACAGGUAAAUCAGAGGCCUGGAAAGAAGUAAUGGAUGCUGUUAACUCUGUGUCGUCUGUUGUAAGAACCAUCCAAGGCGUUAAACAAAAAUGGUUCGAUAUGAAACUUGAUGAAAAAAAUCUAGCAAAACAGCUACAGGUAGAGGCUCUUCCAAGUCUCUUUCAAGAAUUAUUCCUGACAGAGACAGCGACAUGCCUCCACUGGGGCAGUCAACAAGAAACUCAGAAGGUAAGGCGAUGUACGUGUUAUAUUAAGUGUUAAAUCAUUGUACAUACUGACAGCUCACCCCUAUGACUCUGCAAGGGUUCCCACCCACACAGGGUUAAUAGCCUGCAACUUUGUACCAGUCAUUGAGAACUGAAGAAGCUUCUUGGAUGAGAGGCGAAACGUCUUCAAGAAACGCAAGCAAGUCCAGUUGCU